ensembl:lncRNA
GGGUACCGUGGAUUCACGUGAGAGGAGGGUCCGGCAGAGGGACAGAGAGCGGAGAGGUGGAGGGGGCCUCCUAGCCAUUGAGAAGAAGUCGGCUUUUGGCCCCAGUGAGGUGAGGCCGAGGGAGAAGUCUGCGGCGAGGACGGGAGCGGGUGGAGGGCGGACGCGGUGAGAGCGGGUGGACGCUGCUGCGAUAGCCCAGCGAGAGGCCGGCGGCAGCCUGGAGGUGGCGAGGCUGCUUGGGUUGGGCAGAUAUUCCAGAGGCAGGGCCCACGGGAUCUCCCGGUGGAGCAGGCUAGCAGCGGAAGAGGAAUAGGAGCUGGGCAUAACCUCGGCCUUUGAUCUGAGCACCUGGGAGCAUGGCCCUGAGGCCGCCCGCGAUGGGGAAGGGAACAGGGAGCGCCCUGGGGUGGGGCGCCCAGGAAUUCUGUCCGGGGCACGGUCGGCUGCGUUUUCGUGAGGAGGCCAGAAGAGCUGUCGCGGCGGCAAGACCCCAGCGUGGGCCCCGUGGGCAUCCCGCCGAGGUGCUGGGUGAGGCCACCGGGGAGGGAGGACGGCCAAGUUCCGGGCCACCAAGGACGAGCAGCCGGAGGUGGGGACGGGCCUUGACGAGAUGAGCUCUGGGGGAGAAGCCUGACCCGAGAGGGUCUGGGGAGGGAGUGGACAGGGAGGGCGCGCAGACACCUCCGGGGUUAGCUGGGGAGGAACAAAGAAAUGGUGGUGCCUCGGAGGUGAUGCGCGAUCAGAGGGUUUUGGGGUUGGGGUUUCUAGUUUGCAGGAAUGACACGUGUACAAGCCGGCGGGCGGCCGCUGCGAACCGGGUUCUGCGGUGAGCGGGGCGCCGGGGCUCGGCCUGGGGCCACCUCCGCCUGGGGACGUCGUGGAGAAGCCGGGCUCCAGGGCCCCAGCCCCGGCCGCCAGGCGCCAUCGCAGGCGGGGCAGGGAGCCGGGGGUCCCCGGCAGCGGCGCGCGGGCGUGGGCGGCCGCACCCACUCCGGCCCGGGCCGCACGGCCGCCCGCACUUGCCCUCUGGCGGCGGAAGCGCGCAGCGCGUGUCGAGCAGGGAACCUGGACCCGUUCAGCUUCCAUUUCAGCGUGCUGCUGUCUGGGUCUCCUUGGGCACCGCGACGAACAGCGCGAGGACAGGACCCAGCAGACCGUGGGGCGCGUCGGGCAGCGGUGCGCGCCGUGCGGUUCCCAGUGCAAGUGUCUUUUGCUGCUGACCGACCUCAGACCCGGCCCUCCUGGAGAUCUCCUCUCCCUCGGGAUCCCUGUGGCCUCCUACCCAGUUCCCACGUAGCCUGACCCACCAGGACCAGGUUGGGAGCUUUAUGAAUUUUAACACGUUAGGAUAGCCGUCACUACAACAGGAUACAAAAUGUUUCCAUCGCCCCAAAAAACUCCCUCCUGCUGGGGCUUUAUAGGCACAGCCCCCCGUCUGAGCCCCGGCAGCCACCGCUCUGCCCUCCGUCACCACAGCUCUACCUUUUGGAAUGUCGUACAAAUGGAACCAGACUGUGCGACCUUGGGGACCAGCUUCUUUCACUCAGCGCGAUGUCUUCGAGAUUCAUCUGGGUGGUUGUGUGAUCAAUAGUUUGUGUCUUUCCGCAACUCCCCAGUGUUUCCUGGUGUAGAUGGCCACAGUCUGUCUGCCCAUUCAUCCAUGAAAACAUAUUUGGGUUCUUUCCAGCUCUUACAAAUAAAGCUGCUGCCAGUAUUCACUACAAGUCUUUGUGUGAACAGACAUCUUCAUUCCUCUAGGCUGAAUGCCCAGGGGUGGGGUUGCGGCAUCCUAGGAUAAGCAUGUAGCUGCAGUCAUAGGAAACUGAGAAACCGGUUUCCAGAGCGCCUACCUCAUGUUGCACUCCAAGCCUCAACAUGUGAGGGUUCCAGUUGCUUCACGUCCUUGUCAGCACUUGGUAUUAUCAGUAUUUCCUCUUUUAGUCAUUCUGAUGAGCGUGGUGAUAUCUCCUCAAGGUUCUAAUUUGCAUUUCCCUAGCGGCUAACUAACGGUGUUGAACACGUUUUCAUAUGCUUGUUUGCCAUCUGUACAUCCUCUCUGGUGAAGGGUCUGUCCAAGACCUUUGCUGUUUGUAAAUUGUGUUGUCUUUCUUGUGUUGAGUUUCGAGAGCUCUUUUAUGUUCUGCAUACAAGUCCUUUUCAGAUAUUUGGUUUGCAAGUACUUUCUCCCAAACUGUCUCUUCUCCAUCAUUCUCUUGACAGUGUCUUUGGCUGUAAAAGGGUAAAAGUUUUUAGUUUUGAUGAAAUGUAAUUUAGCUAUUUUUUUUCUUUUAUGGGUCAUGCUUUUGGUGUCAUUUCUACAAACUCUUUGAUUAACCCCAUGUCAUGAAGAUUUGCUCCUACUUUUCCUUGUGAAAGUUUUAUAGUCCAUGUUUGACAUCGAGACCUGGACUCUCUCUGGGUUUGUCUUUACACAAGGUGGGAGGUCUAGGUCAAGGUUCAUCUCUCUGAAUGUGGAUGACCAGUUGUUUCAGCACUGUUUACUGAAAACCCUUUUCUUUCUCCACUGAGUUGCACUUGCACAGUUGUCAGAGAUUUUUG